GAAGGAAAUUUUUUCAAAAAAAAAUUUCCUUUCUAUAGUAACGGUCUGCUCAUAUUAAAAAGAACGAACAACACCUAAUUGACUUCUGUUUAAGCUCAAUAGAAAACAAGUAGUGAAUGCGACCAAGAAAGUAGUGCAGCAGAACUAUAUGUAUACUUUCAAACGUGGAUGAUUUGAAGAAAAAGAUGAUGUUCAAAAAAACUUGAAAUGAUGAUAUUCAAUGUUAGCUUACAUCAAUGGAACAUAAUCUUAAACGUGUACGAAAAAAAACAUCAGUAUUAUUACGCAUUAGGCCAAAGAAAAAUUGGUGUCCAUGUACCUAUGUACAAUAAAUUGAAUAUAAAUAAGGUGUAAUUUUGUAGCAGAGAUGCUGAAAAGUUCACAUAUAAGUCAACCGAAGGGAAAUAAAAGUAUUUUUUGUAUAUAUUUAGCAAUUUAUUGAAUAGCAUUUUAUGCCACCGCUGAAUUUUUUACGUCGAUAACUCAAGAGGAAACAAUGGAUACAAUAUGUGGCCUUAAAAAGGCAUACUAUUUUUGCAAAAAAAUGGUUCGCAAAUUAUCAUAGAAUCAAAGCGUUUGAAACAAAAAUAUUAUUAUGUAAAUAAUAAAAAACAAUAUUUCAGUACAAGUCUUUCAAAAGUAUUUUGGAAUUAACGGAUGCAAUUUGGUAAAACUUGCUUUAGACUAAUAAGUAGGGCACACCGUUCGGACCAUCGACAGAAUAACGUUCGUGUUUUUCAGAUUUCAAGACAUAGAUUUGCUGAUGAAUAACAUCGCAAAGAUCUUGGUGUAUUGUCUUCAUACAUGGCCACAACAACCCUUCAAAUAGACCAGACUAAACUUAAUUAACUUGACCACCAUAUUAACAUUCAAGGUAAAUUUUAAGAAGUUCGGCCUACAUGUCAGAUUUAUGAAUGUGAGCAGCAGGAUAUCGAUUUUAAGGAUGCUUUAGGGUCAAUGACAAUGAAAUCAUGAGAGAUAAAGGCUAAAAUGUGAGACUGUCAAUCUGACUAACCUUGAAGUGAAUAAAUGGAAAAAUGUUUCUUUCAAAGGCAUGGGCAUUUAAGGAAGAGGAAACAGAGGCGCUUAUAUGAUAGAACAGAUAAAGCAGGAGCGAUAAGGAAAGAUACAUGUAGAUGCGUCUUCAUGUCGGAAACACUAAAGAAAUAGAAAUAUUGUGGUUUUAUAAAACUUAAAAGAAAUUGGAAUACCAGGAGACUGCCUGCCCUUUGCAAUGUUGGAUAAUGAGUUCUUAGAUGUGAUGUCGAAAGUCUCAUGAAUAUAGUACCAUGACUUAAUCUAAUUAGAAAAAGAAAUGACAUUGAGGAGAAAACUAGUCACCAGUCUUUCACCAAUAACUAGAGAUAACUUUCCAAUAUUUGAAAUAUCAUAAUAUGUAUAGAACUUUAAUGAGCCACCAGUUUUUCACCAGGAAAAUAAGAUCACUUAACUAUUUUUAGCUCACCUGUCACAAAGUUACAGGGUGAGCUUUUUUGAUCGCUUUUCGUCCGGCGUCCGUCCGUAAACUUUUACUUUAAAUGAAAUGUCCUCAUAAACCACUUAGCCAAUUUCAUCCAAACUUUACAGGAAUGUUCCUUUGGUGGUCACCUUUAAAUACUGUUCAUAGAAUUUAAUUUCAUGCAGAACGCUGGUUGCCAUGGCAACCAAAAGAAAAUGACAUAAAGUAUCUUCUUUUAAAGAACUCAAAGAGCUAGAGCUUAGACAAAGUAUCUUCUUUUAAAGAACCCAAAGAGCUAGAGCUUAGACAUUUGGCAUGAAACAUCUUCUAGUGAGUGUCUACCAAGUUUGUUCAAAUAAAAGCCCUGGGGUCAAAAUUGCCCCGGCCCCAAGGGGUCAUUGAUUUUCCCUAUAUGCAUAUAGUAAAAACUUAAAAAUCUUCUUUUAAAGAACCAAAAUAGCUAGAGUUUAGAUAUUAAGCAUGAAACAUCUUCUGGUAAGUGUCUACAAAGUUUGUUCAAAUAAAAGCCCUGGGGUCAAAAUUGGCCCCGCACCGGGGGUCAUUGAUUUUCCUUAUAUGUGUAUAGCAAAAACUUAAAAACCUUCUUUGAAAAAACCCAAAUAGCUAGAGUUUAGAUAUUAAGCAUGAAACAUCUUCUGGUAAGUGUGUACAAAGUUUGUUCAAAUAAAAGCCCUGGGGUCAAAAUUGGCCCCGCACCGGGGGUCAUUGAUUUUCCUUAUAUGUGUAUAGCAAAAACUUAAAAACCUUCUUUGAAAAAACCCAAAUAGCUAGAGUUUAGAUAUUAAGCAUGAAACAUCUUCUGGUAAGUGUGUACAAAGUUUGUUCAAAUAAAAGCCCUGGGGUCAAAACUGGCCCCGCCCCAGGGGUUUCAUUGUUUUUAACUAUAUGUGUAUAGUAAAAACUUAAAAAAUCUUCUUUUAAAAAACCCAAUGAGCUAGAGCCUAGAUGUUUAGCAUGAAACAUCUUCUUAUGGUGUCUACCAAGUUUGGUCAAAUUUAAGCCCUUGGAUAAAAAUUGGCCAUGCCGGGGGUGGGUGGUGGUGCAGAGGUCUUUGUUUUACAUUAUAUUUGGGUAGAAAAAACUUAACAUCAUGAAACAUCUUCUAAUGGGUGUCAUACAAGUUUGUUCAAAUAAAAACCCUGGGGUUUAAACUGGCCCCGCUCCAGGGGCCUAUAUACACAUGGCCCUCUUGUUGAAAUAUGUAUGAACAAAUCUUUAUCAACUUCAAGGUUUUAUCGAAGGAAUUUGAAUUACUUGGCACAAAUGAUUGUUAUAAUAAGACGAUGAGUCAUGUGCAACAACCAGACCCCUACCUCCAGGGUCAAGGUCGCACUUGCUCAUUCAAGGUCAACAUUGUCUAUUUGAGAGUAUAUCUCAUGUCUGGUCUAUAACUUUCCUAUCUCUAAAGGGAUUUUGUAAAUACUUGCCACAAUUGCUCACAAUAAUGAGAAGAUGUGUCAUGCGCAACAACAGGUCACCUGCCUCCAAGGUUAAGGUCACACUUGGAGGCCAAAUAUUAACAUAACCUGUUACAGGGUAUAUUUCGUGUCUGGUCCAUAACUUUGUCAUUUAUUGAAGGAAUUUGAAAUAACUUGGCACAAAUGUUUGUUAUAAUAAGAUGAUGAUGCGCAAUAACCAGACCCCUACCAUUAGGGUCAAGGUCACACUUGCUCAUUCAAGGUCAACAUUGUCUAUUUGAGGGUAUAUCUCGUGUCCAGUCUAUACCUUUCUUAUCUUGAAGGGAUUUUGUAAAUACUUGCCACAGUUGUUCACAACAAUGAGAUGAUGUGUCAUGCGCAACAAUCGGUCACCAACCUACAAGGUCAAGGUCACACUUGGAGGUCUAAGAAUAACAUAGCCUGUUAUAGGGUAUUUUUUUUGUCCGUUCCAUAACUUUUUCCUAUAUCAAAGGAUUUUGAAAACACUUGGCACAAAUAUUCACUAUAAUAAGACAAUGUGUCAUGCGCAACACCUGCAUCCCUACCUCCAAGGACAGGGUCACAUUUCGAGGUAAAAAAUUAACAUAGUCUUUUAAAGGGUAUAUAUUGUGUCCAAUGUAGAACUUCUUCAUAGUUCAAGGAAUUUUGAAAUAACACAUAGGCACAAAUAGUCACAAUAAUAAGACUAUAUGUCAAGUACAACACCUGCACCCCUGCCUCCAAGGUCAAGGUCACACUUAGAGGUAUAAAGGUAACAAAGUCUGUUAUAUGGUAUAUUUUAUGCACCGUCCAUAACUUCUUCAUAGAUGAAGGGAUUUUGAAAAUACUUGGCACAAAUAGUUACAAUGAUAAGAUGAUAUGUCAUGCACAACACCUGCACCCCUACCUCCAAGGUCAAGGUCACACUUACAGGUCAAAGCAGGGAUUUUUUCCAGGAUUUUGGGAACAUAACCCAUACCCAUGGAACUGGGAAUUUCAGCAAUAUUUUCUUAAAAAUUGGGAAAAAAUACAUGACUGAAAUUUUGUAGUGAUUAAAUGUAUGCAAGCAAUCACUGCCUAGAAUGGCUUCUUCAAACAUUUUAACACUAUAACAGUGAAGAAGCCCUUAUUUUCAAAGAUUUUAGAAUUCUUUAUUCAAUAUCUAUAUUUUUGUAACUUUCAAUUGGGAAUAUUUUCCUGUGGAUUGGGAAAAUAAUAUGUCCCAAUAACGGCUAUAAAAUGAGCCAAAAAAUCCCUGCAAAGCUUAACAUGAUAGAUUUUGAAAUUCAGUAUUUCAUUUUAUUUCUUUAAUAAAUAUAUUGUUGCAUUUGCAGAUCUAGCAUUGAUCAUAAUUUUGGACUGAAAAUCAUUAGAUCCCUGGCUCAAUCUUUUGAAAUAGCACAAUUUUUUGUUUCAUAUAAAACAUCCCUGAGGCAGGGGACGUUAGUAACUCUGUCGAUCAAAAGUCAAAUAAUAAAUUAAAACAUGAGAGUAUAUUUCUAUAUACAUGGCUGGAUUUUCAUAACAUUUAUCACAAAUCAUGAAAUGUUCAUUUAUGUAUACAUCUUUCUCCCUAAUCUGAAGCUUUAAGGUUCAGUUCUGAAUGAAGGCAACAGGCUCGAUAUGCUGCCAGUGGGCUUGUCUAAUUAUGUACAUAUUUUGAUUACUCACUCAAUAUAAGCAUUGUUCUUAACGCAGGCAUUCAAGUCCUGUGGGCACAUUUCUACUUUUGACUAUAUUUUGUUGUAUAAUAUCAGUCUUGUAUGUAAAAAAUCCUUAAAACAGCACCUCCUAUACCACUGGCCGUUUGCAUUAAAGCUUCUUUCAUUCAGAUUGUUAUAACUUGUGUCACCUCAAUAUGUACCAAUAAUUUAAAGGGACUCACUCCAUUGAGGUUUAAAAGCCUAAAACAUAACAUUUGAAUUUCUACAGAAAUGAGCCGGGGCACUUGAUACAGAAAUAUAUGCACAGAUAGUGAAGAAAUAUACUUUGAAAUAAAUUGAACAUCGAUUUUUUAUGCUUUUCUCAGCCUGAUCUUCGUGAAAUGUGUUUAAACGCUUUUAUUUUGGGUCAUUUUUUUACAAAUUGAAUAAUUAUUCUUGAAAAACGAAGUGCGCAAAUGAUCUGAAAUUUUUCUCAAAGAUAAGUGGUCAAAAUAUACAUCAAGUGGUACAUUAAUCUAGAAAAUGAAUUUCAGUCUCAUCAUGUCAAAAAACUUCAGUGGAGUUCCUUUCACACAGUUUAUCUGACAAACUAAAUUUCAUUAUCUCCAUAUAUUUAAGCAUUUAUUUUUUAUAUCACAUAUAUUUUUACUUUUAUGCAAGUUUUGACAAUAAAAGUUUACUUUAAAUCAUUGUUCUUUGUUUUGCUAUGACUUUAACAGCAUGUACAUCAAUUUCAUACUGAAACACAAUUAGUCAUGUUUGAACUUACACAUGUAAGCACAUGAUGAGCUUUUCUUGUCCUUGAGUUAAAAUAAACAGUCU